UACGGAGGGUGCAAGCGUUAUCCGGAUUCACUGGGUUUAAAGGGUGCGUAGGCGGAUUGGUAAGUCCGUGGUGAAAUCUCCAAGCUUAACUUGGAAACUGCCAUGGAUACUAUUAGUCUUGAAUAUUGUGGAGGUUAGCGGAAUAUGUCAUGUAGCGGUGAAAUGCAUAGAUAUGACAUAGAACACCAAUUGCGAAGGCAGCUGGCUACACAAAUAUUGACGCUGAUGCACGAAAAGCGUGGGGGAUCAAAACAGG
rnacentral:rRNA from 1 species